CCUACGGGUGGCAGCAGUAGGGAAUAUUGCUCAAUGGGGGCAAACCCUAAACCACCAAGGCCCGUGGGAGGAUGAAGGUUUUCGGAUUGUAAACUCCUUUUGUUAGAGAAGAAAUUGACGGUAUCUAACGAAUAAGAACGGGCUAACUCCGUGCCAGCAGCCGCGGUAAUACGGAGGGUGCAAGCGUUACCGGGAAUCACUGGGCGUAAAGAGCGCGUAGGCGGGAUAGCAAGUCAGAUGUGAAAUCCUAUGGCUUAACCAUAGAACUGCAUUUGAAACUGGUAUUCUAGAGUAUGGGAGAGGUAGGUGGAAUUCUUGGUGUAGGGGUAAAAUCCGUAGAGAUCAAGAGGAAUACUGAUUGCGAAGGCGACCUGCUAGAACAUAACUGACGCUGAUGCGCGAAAGCGUGGGGAGCAAACAGGAUUAGAUACCCCUGUAGUC
rnacentral:rRNA from 1 species